CCACACACUGGGGUUGCAGCCUGAUGCAGCCAUGCCGCGUGUGUGAAGAAGGCCUUCGGGUUGUAAAGUACUUUCAGUCGGAGGAAGGCGGUGUCGUUAAUAGCGGCGUCGUUUGACGUUAGCGACAGAAGAAGCACCGGCUAACUCCGUGCCAGCAGCCGCGGUAAUACGGAGGGUGCGAGCGUUAAUCGGAAUUACUGGGCGUAAAGCGCAUGCAGGUGGUUUGUUAAGUCAGAUGUGAAAGCCCGGGGCUCAACCUCGGAAUAGCAUUUGAAACUGGCAGACUAGAGUACUGUAGAGGGGGGUAGAAUUUCAGGUGUAGCGGUGAAAUGCGUAGAGAUCUGAAGGAAUACCGGUGGGAAGGCGGCCCCCUGGACAGAUACUGACACUCAGAUGCGAAAGCGUGGGGAGCAAACAGGAUUAGAUACCCUGGUAGUCCACGCCGUAAACGAUGUCUACUUGGAGGUUGUGGCCUUGAGCCGUGGCUUUCGGAGCUAACGCGUUAAGUAGACCGCCUGGGGAGUACGGUCGCAAGAUUAAAACUCAAAUGAAUUGACGGGG
rnacentral:rRNA from 1 species